rnacentral:rRNA from 1 species
CCUACGGGAGGCAGCAGUAGGGAAUAUUGCUCAAUGGGGGAAACCCUGAAGCAGCAACGCAGCGUGGAGGAUGAAGGUUUUAGGAUUGUAAACUCCCUUUGUUAGAGAAGAUAAUGACGGUAUGUAACGAAUAAGCAAUGGCUAACUCCGUGCCAGCAGCCGCGGUAAUACGGAGGGUGCAAGCGUUACUCGGAAUCACUGGGCGUAAAGAGCGCGUAGGCGGGAUAGAAAGUCAGAUGUGAAAUCCUAUGGCUUAACCAUAGAACUGCAUUUGAAACUGUUAUUCUAGAGUAUGGUAGAGGUAGGUGGAAUUCGUGGUGUAGGGGUAAAAUCCGUAGAGAUCAAGAGGAAUACACAUUGCGAAGGCGACCUGCUAGAACAUAACUGACACUGAUGCUCGAAAGCGUGGGUAGCAAACAGGAUUAGAUACCCUUGUAGUC